rnacentral:tRNA from 1 species
CGGGAAGUAGCUUAGUUUGGCUAGAGCGCUUGCUUCGGGAGCAAGAGGUCGGCGGUUCAAGUCCGCCCUUCCCGACCA